CACCAGGACCCCUUUAGGAUGGGUGUUCAAGGCCCUCCAGGAGCACCUCUUGCUAAACCUCUGCUGCCUCAUGCCUAAAUACCUCUCUGCCUCCCUCACAGGCAAAAGAGAUCCAGACGAUAGAGUAACAUCAAAGGUUCUGUGAACUGCAGGUGAACAGACGAUCAUCUUCACCUACGGGGCUCAUCGCCGUUUCAUUCCUGUGCUUCUCGGGAGGAAAGUUACCGCGGAGCAGCCCCUCAGCAGAGGAAUCCGUGGUGGAAACCCAAGCGUCCUGGCUGCAGUCUCCUGGGAACUGGAGUGUGAAUGCUUUCCUUCUGACGGCAGACAGCUGAGAACCUGCAGGGUUAAAAGUGCACAGUCCGGGAAGGUUCUGUUCCCAGGACAGCGCUAUCGAGUCCACUGGGCGCUCCACGCGGUCUACCUAAAGGGAACAGCCUGCGGCGUCGGCACCCUAUUCAUCUCUAAGGGUCCAGCGGCGGGAUGCUCCAGGUCCAGUCUGAGGAGUAAAUGCUGGGCGUGUAACCUCAUCAGUGUUGGGAACCUGGUGAGGCUACACAGCACAGAGGGGCCGGACUGCAUCAGGGAAAGAGGAGUUGGGCUGUCUUCUCAUUGUCACACACAAUCCCACCAUGGAGGACUCAGGCUGUCUCAUGGCUACAGAGGUAGUGAAGCAGUUGCCAGGCGCCACAGCAGGAACGGAAUUUCUCCGUGAAGACAGUGGUAAGGCGGAAGGACUGAGAGUGCAUCCCGCUGGGGUACUGGAAGGUGUAGGAUUCCAUCAGGGCAAACGCUAUCAUUUGUGCUUUAAGACUAGGAUUUGUGGAACAGGGAGAAUGCAUCCCCUGCCCUCCCUGUUGCUUAGCAACAGUCCUCUUUCUCAUUCCCAGCAGGUCCAAAAGGGCCCAGUUUUGAAGAUUGGGGGCAAGGAGUGGGGGAUGAAGCUGUCUGCUGGAUCACAAGAGUCAAAGACACGCCUUCAGCCCACACAGGUGGGGAGGCUCAGAAUGCCUGCCCCCUAGGGCCUCCACGCUGGACAUUGGGUCAGGGAAGCCCCCUUUCCUGAGUUGUUCUGUGGGACUCCAAAGGGCCUCCUGCCAAGCUCUCUGACAGUUCACAUCCCAUCUGAAGAGCCUCAUGCACCAGUCCAGGGCCUCUGAGAAGCAGAUGCCAAGAGGGGAUUAAAAAUGCCAAGAUUUUGUUGGAGGAGAUGCCCAGAGAGUUAUGGAGGCUGGAAGUCCAAGACCAAGGCACAGGCAGGUUUGAUGUCUGCUGAGGCCUUGACCACUGCAUCACAUGGUGGAAGGCAGACGGGCAGAAAGAGGACAAACACUGUGUCCUCACAGCAGAAGAGAAUGAACCUCCUCCCUCGAGCCCUUUGAUAAGGGCCCUAACCCCAUCUGGAAGGGCUCUACCUGAUGACUUAAUCACCUCCUAAAGGCCCUGCCUCUUAAAACUAUCUCAUGGGGAUUAUGUUUCAAUAUAUAAAUUUUGUGAGACACAUUCAGACCAUAGCAACCUACUAUGUUCUUUUUCCUUAUCUGUAAUGACUGGUUAUGCUUAUAAAUGUUUGAAAGCAAAAGUGCCUUUUCCGUGAAAUUUUGCAUCUGUUUCCAUUUUAUCCCUUCUCUG
rnacentral:lncRNA from 1 species